rnacentral:rRNA from 1 species
GACGAACGCUGGCGGCGUGCUUAAUACAUGCAAGUCGAACGGUAAGGCCCCAGCUUUCUGGGUUACACGAGUGGCGCACGGGUGAGUAACACGUGGGUGACAUCCCCCGCACUUCGGGAUAAGACUGGGAAACUGGGUCUAAUACCGGGUAUGACAGCACCGUGCGGAUGUGGUGGUAGUUUUUUCGGUUUGUGCUGGGCCCGAGGCCUAUCACCUUGUUGGUGGGGUAAUUGCCUACCACGGCGGCGGCCGAUAGCCGGCAUGAGAGGGUGGACGGCCACAAUGGGCCUGAGACACGGACCAGACGCGUACGGGAGGCAGUGGGGGAGAACAUUGCACAAUGGGCGGAAGCCUGAUGCAGCGAUGCCGCGUGCGGAAUGACGGCCUUCGGGUUGUAAACUCCUGUGUACAUCGAUGAAGGUUUUCUGACGGUAGAUGGAGAGGAAGCACCGGCUAACUACGUG